rnacentral:sRNA from 1 species
UAUAAUUGUUGAAACCUUCUCGAACAACAUCCCAAUAUUAUUAUAAAUAUAAUUUGGAUAAAUAAAUCUGCUAUUAAAACUUGCCGAAUGGAAAUAAACGGUAUUGGGAACCCGUUUUAAGAAGGGUUUAAGACGAUAAUACGCCAACAACGGAAUAAAAAAUAAAAUAAAUACUGUCAAAAGAAAUUAACCCAAAUAAAAUUUAAAAAUAAUCGAACUUUUUUCAAAAUGCGACCCGAUUUCCAAAGCCUGUUAUACGGGAAAUUUUUUAACGACCGUCGAAAACGGAUUUACAAAAAUAAAAAAUUAAAACGUUUGGCGUAAUAAUAAAAAAUACCCGAUAUUUUCUCUUUAUUUGGGAAACGUUUAAAUUUAAACCAAACUAAUUUAUAUAUUUUUCGGCACAGCGGAGAAAAGACCAAUAUUAUAAACCGGCAAAUCUAAUAAUUACCAUUAUAUAAAAUAUAUAUUUGAAGGGCUAAUACGAAUUUACUAAAACCGGUAUACGGGAUUACGCGUAGGGUUUUCUUUUACUAAUAAAUUAACUGGCGGUUUGCUUUUAAAUUCUUUCCAUUUAUUAUUUUUAGAAAUGAUUAAAAUUGUAAAAAUUAAAUCCCUAUUUAUUUAUAUUUUUAAUAUAAUGAUAAUUAUUUUGUUGACCGUUUUUAAAGUUUUUUAUACUCUUUUGGUGAGGUAAAUACAAGUAUUAUACGUAGUUAAUAUAUAUCAAAUUAGGGUUUUCGAAUUGCAAAUCUAAUUUUAUAUUUUACAUUUUAUACUUUAAAUACUUAAAGCACUAGAAUUUCUGUUAUUCAAAGUAUUAAAUUAAAUACCGUUACUUUUUUAAAUUUUAGGCAGCGAACGGUAGUUUAUGCGAAUUUGGAAAGUGUUAUAUUAUUAAAACCAAACGCCCUUCAAUAGGUAAUAAAAAGUUAUUAUCCGUUAAAUCCAAGUUUGUAAUGUUAUAAAUUUAGUUUCCAGAUUUAAAAUUAAAAUUCCUUUUUAAAUUUGCAUUCUCACUUUCUAUAAUUUCUAACGUUUUUCUUUUUAAAAUAACCAAAUUUGUAGCGUAUAUAUAUAUAUUUAUAUAUAUAUUUAUAUAUAUAUUUAUAAAUUUCACGGUUAAAUUCUAUAUAUAGCCCCUUUAACAGGUAAAACGCUUAGCCCCGGCUAAAUAACAAACAGAUAGAAAACUGCCGAGGAAACGCCGAAAAAUAUAGGCUAAUUAUUUGAAAAUUAUUUUAAUUAAAUUUAAAAAAUUUAGAGGAAAAUCCAUAAAAUAGGUUAACCUGGUUUUAGGGGGUAAUUAAAUAUCCGCGUUCCAUAACCCAACCAAAAUCCCCUCCACAAAUAAUAAGGACCCCGAAAAUAAUUUGUGGACCAAAUAACCACGUCGCCCCCAACAAAAGUUUUUAAAUAAUAUAAAACGGACCCAAAUUAUUACUUUUCUAAAAAGGGACCAUUGUAUUUUCCAUUUUUUAUUAUUUUCCCUGGUGGUUUUAUAACCAAUAAAAUAAAAAAGGUUAUCGAAUAAAAUUAUUGUAAAACUAAUAGUAUUAAAUAAAUUUAUCGCAAACUAGUGAAUAGAACCAAAAAAAUUAUCGCGAACGCUAAAACAAACAACAAAAAAAAACCCUAAUUAGCCAAAACCUUCCAUCGUCUGGUUUAAUAUAAUUGUUAUGGUUUUCCACGAUUUAUCCCCAUAUUUUUUCGUUUUCGCCAGGUUCCCUCCAAAGAAGUUUCGAAUCUCCCCAUCAGGGCCUAGAAGGUUGGGGUGCUGGGCCCAAACAGUUUUUAAGACCAGAUAAAAAACGUAUUAACGACAAGUUUAAAGCGAAAUUUACAUGAAGAAACUUUCAAAAAAAGCGUGAAAACAGGUUAGAAAGUCGUGACAGAUAAGUCUUCCCUGCAAUGGUCACUAUAAAACGCUCAGCACUGGUUAAAAAACAAACAAAUAGAAAAACUGCCGAGGAAGCGCCGAAAAGUGUAGGUUAAUUGUUUAAGAGCUGUUCUGGCUAAAUUUAGAAAAUUUAGAGGAGAACCUAUAAAACCGGCUAACCCGGUUUUAGGGGGUGACUAAACAUCCGUGUCCCAUAACCCAACCACAGGGGAGUAAAGGAGCGUUAUAAAAUUAAACGAAUGGAUUUAAAAUUUUAUUAUAUUUAUUCGGGGAAUUAAUUUGUUAGUUUUUUCGCGUUCUUUUGAAAAUAUAAUAAUAAGAAUAUAACUUUUGAUUUUAAAUAUUAGGUUUUAAAAUUAUACUAGUAUUCAUUAUAAAACCGGAAAUAUUAGGGGAUAUAAAUAUAAUAUUUAAAAUGUUUGUUCAGUGAGCGUGCUUUUAAUGUAAAUAAUAUAAUAGAUAGCCUUUAUUUUGUCAAAAUUAAAUGAACCGCUUGCAUUUUCCACGGUUUUUCAAAUAACAACAAUUUUUUAUAUUUUGAAUAAUUAUAUGAUAAUAGGAUUUUGUUAGACUUGGAUUAUUUAUAAUAAGAAAACACGGUAAUAUAUUAUUAGGUUUGCAAAUACUUUUCGAAACCUGGAAUUAAUAUAAAAAACCGAAAAUUAGGUUUUGCAUUCGGUUAUACCGCCCGUAUUCAAAGUUUUGCACUUUUUUGAAAAAUUAAAACUAUUAUAUAGGAAAAAUAAUAUUGGGUUACGGGCGAUUUCUUUUAAAAAGGAAUUAUAUUAAUAUUUUAUUAUUAUUAUGAAAUUGGUUAUAAAUAUAUAGUAUAUUAAUUACGCAUUUUAAUACCGGCGACAAAAUAUUUAAUUUAUUUUUCUGAUAUUUUUAUAUAAUAAAUAUAAUUUAAAGCCGGACAACGUGUUUAUAACGUAUUUUGGAAUUUUAUUUUGUAUUAAAUAUAGCGCAAUUGCCCGUAAUAAACAAUUACUCUUUUGCUGAAAAUGGCUGUAAAUAAAAAAGGUUAAUAUGUAUAUGACGCGAUAAUUUGUUAAUAUAAAAAAACUUGUAGUUUGCAAAAAAAGAAUUUAUAUUUCCAUAUAUUACCUGGUCGCCAUAUUAACGGCCAUAACAGUCGUGAAAGAUGGAUAAGAAACCAAAAAAACUUUCCAAAUUAAUAUGCAAAACUUGGCCCACCCAGACGUGUUCCUGGAAAACAACUCCCAUUUCCAUAAAAACUGGUCACUUGGGAAUUACCCCAAAGAUUACACCCUGUCCCUUAAAAAGAUCCUUUAGGGGAAAAGGGACGAUAAAAAAAUCUUCAAAAGCUGGAAUAAUAAAAAUAAAAAUAAUUUUUAAUACCGCACCCCGGUUAUUUAUAAUAGAUAUGGGAAAUGUAUUGCUGGGAAUUCCGAUUAUUUUGUCGAAACAACCAAACCCAAGCAAUUUAAUGGCCGGAAAUUUAAAAAUAUUAAAAUUGGCCAAAAAAGGCAGAGGAAAUUUAAUCAAACCCAAAAACCGAAGAAAAAGGCCAAAACAAAAAAGGAAUAGGAAAAAUAUAAAGCCCAUAUUAGUGCUAUCGCUAAAAGUUCGAGAAGAAUGUUGGGGUAUAUGGUUUUUACGUUGGUAAUGCACCGGCGCACUAUUGAGAAUUUUGAAAAUAAUAUAAAUACCAGGUAUUUUUUCCUGGAUUUCGCGGUCUAUUAAAGAAUUAAUACGGUAAGAAACCUGGAAAUUUUAAUAAAAGAAUAAGAAAACAAAUAUUAAAGAUUUAAUAAAAUCGUUAAAUAUUCCGCCGACAAUGAAACUUUUAAUAAAUAAGUGGAUGGAUUAUUUAUUUGGUUAUAAUUAAAACAAUUUCCCACUUCUAUUAAAUAGCCUGCUGCCUUUGGUCCAACCGGUUAAAUUAAUAGGUUUGACCUAAUAUUCUAAUUUUCUAUUCCCUAAUAAAAGAAUUUGAAACGUUUUUGGGAGGAAUUUGUCGGAAAUGAAAAAAUAAAAGAAUAAACCGUGAAAAAUUAUAACGAUUAUAUUAAACCAAAUAAUGGGGGGUUUGGUUAAUUAAAAUUUUCCUUUUUUUCAUUUCGAUGUUCGCGAUAACUUUUUCGGUCCUAUUUAUUUAUUUCCAAUAAAUCCAUUUGAUAUUUUCUGUUUUACAAUAAUUUUUUUUCAUUCGAUAAAUUUGUUUAUUUUAUUAGCCAUAAAGCCAUUAAAAAUAAUUUUGGAACAUGGAAAAUAUAGUGGCUUUUUUGGGGGUUAGUAAUUUGGCGGUCGUUUUAUAUUAUU